rnacentral:rRNA from 1 species
GACGUAGGGCGCGAGCGUUUGUCCGGAUUUAUUGGGCGUAAAGGGUGCGUAGGCGGUUCCGCAAGUCCUGUGUGAAAUCUUCGGGCUCAACUCGAAGUCUGCACGGGAAACUGCGGGGCUUUGAGUGUGGGAGAGGUGAGUGGAAUUCCCGGUGUAGCGGUGAAAUGCGUAGAUAUCAGGAGGAACACCGGUGGUGUAGACGGCUUUCUGGACCGUAACUGACGCUGAGACACGAAAGCGUGGGUAGCAAACAGG